rnacentral:rRNA from 1 species
GACGAACGCUGGCGGCGUGCUUAACACAUGCAAGUCGAACGGAAAGGCCCUGCUUUUGUGGGGUGCUCGAGUGGCGAACGGGUGAGUAACACGUGAGUAACCUGCCCUUGACUUUGGGAUAACUUCAGGAAACUGGGGCUAAUACCGGAUAGGAGCUCCUGCUGCAUGGUGGGGGUUGGAAAGUUUCGGCGGUUGGGGAUGGACUCGCGGCUUAUCAGCUUGUUGGUGGGGUAGUGGCUUACCAAGGCUUUGACGGGUAGCCGGCCUGAGAGGGUGAACGGACACAAUGGGACUGAGAUACGGCCCAGACUCCUACGGGAGGCAGCAGUGGGGAAUAUUGCACAAUGGGCGGAAGCCUGAUGCAGCAACGCCGCGUGCGGGAUGACGGCCUUCGGGUUGUAAACAGAUUUCGCCUGUGACGAAGAGUGAGUGACGGUAAUGGGUAAAGAAGCACCGGCUAACUACGUG